rnacentral:rRNA from 1 species
UACGUAGGGUGCGAGCGUUAAUCGGAAUUACUGGGCGUAAAGCGUGCGCAGGCGGUUCUCCAAGUCCGUUGUGAAAGCCCCGGGCUCAACCUGGGAAUGGCAGUGGAAACUAGGGGACUGGAAUCUGGCAGAGGGAGGUGGAAUUCCACGUGUAGCAGUGAAAUGCGUAGAGAUGUGGAGGAACACCGAUGGCGAAGGCAGCCUCCUGGGCCAGCACUGACGCUCAUGCACGAAAGCGUGGGGAGCAAACAGG